GUGCUUGCUUCGGCAGCACAUAAACUAAAAUUGGAAUGAUACAGAGAAGGUUAGCAUGGCUCCUGCACAAGGAUGACACACAAAUUCAUGAAGCGUUCCAUAUUUUU
ensembl:snRNA U6 U6 spliceosomal RNA